AGACGCCCGGCUUGUUUACAGGCCCCAGGCCUGCCCGCCGCCGCCGCCGCGCAGGCCCGCACCGCCCGCCAGCCCGCCGUCGGCCCGAGCGCCGCACUUACCCGGAGCAGCCGCAGGCGGGCAGGUCCCUGGUCGGCCGAGGCGGCGGCGGCGGCAGCCGGGGAGGGGGUCACCGCGGCGGCGACGGCGGCAGCCGGGGGAGGGGUCACCGCUGCAGCGGCGGGCCAGGUCAGGCUGGGGAAGGGGCGGAGGAGGGGAGGAGCCGGGCUGCGUCCGGGCCCCCGGCUGUCGGCGCCCUCGCGGCUCAGAUCAUCCGGGCGUUGGAGAGGGAGGCAGAGAGCGGGUCCCGGAGAAGGAGGAGGAAGAGCCGAGGACUCAUCGCUUUCGCGCCUCAGCUGUCUAGAGUCCCCCCACCCCCCCCUCCCCAACCACCCGUUCCGGAGCAACAGCCGCCUGAGGACCCGAAGCUGCGGGCCGGACGAGCGCCGAGACCACUGCUCUCUAGCUCCCGCGCGCGCUCCCGUCCCUAGCGCCGCCACCGCCGCCGCCGCCGCCUCUAGCGCGGCCCCGCGCAGGCGCGCUCACGACCGCGUCGCCCCUCCCCCACCCCUCCGCUCGCCCCGCCCCGCUGGCUCCGCCGCCGCUACAGCUGCGGCGCGGCGCGCAGCUACAGAGACCCGGAUGUCGUUGGGCAGGAACUGCGGUGAGGGCUGGCGGGCGGGGGAGGGGCCGCCACAGAUGACGUCACUGCCUUACCCAGCUUCUUUCUCUGCCGCUGCUGCUGCCGCCGCCUUUGCCUUACGGCCUGGAGCACCAGGCCGAAGCCGAAGGGAGCGUCCGGAUCCCGGAUAGCAGCCAGGACCCGGGCCUUCACGUUCCGGCGCCAGGGACUGGACAGAAUGUGCGGCUAUUAGGUGCCCAGUAGAUCGACAGCCCCUCCGUGCCGGCCCUUGGCCAAGUAGGGACUCGGAAGCUACCCCUACGGCGUCCGCGCCCGGAGCCCUGGCUCUUCUACCUGCCUGCAGAUACAAACCCCACUCCCUGCGAAGAUGGUGUACACGCAGCCCCGAGCACAGACCCGAAGCUGUCCACCCUUCUUGGGCGCCGUCGCGGUCUGGCCGCUGCCCUUCGAACCCAUGGCUUCCACACCUUUCUUCUCUCUGUUCUGCACUUGGAGAAU
rnacentral:lncRNA from 1 species